UUCAGAUUGCAGGCUGCAACUCGCCUGCAUGAAGUCGGAAUUGCUAGUAAUCGUGGACCAGCAUGCCACGGUGAAUACGUUCCCGGGCCUUGUACACACCGCCCGUCACACCAUGGGAGUCGGAAAUGCCCGAAGUCUGUGACCCAACCGCGAGGAGGGAGCAGCCGAAGGCAGGUCGGAUGACUGGGGUGAAGUCGUAACAAGGUACC
rnacentral:rRNA from 1 species